GGCUAAUGCUAAACUGUACCUCUAAUUUACAAAUGUAUGUGCUGAAUACACUUAUUAAACAUUUGCUGUUCUAUUUCAGUGGGCUUUAAGUUAGUAGUGAGGCAUUUUUAAUUUGCUUUAUAAACACUUUUGUCAUGUAUUGUUUGAACCAGCUGCUAAACUCUUGUUUUUGUGACUUAGUAAUUCCUUCCCAAAGAAAAGAUUGUGCAUAAUGGUAGACAAUCCACUGUGACAUGCCCCUUUGCAUGAAUAUUUCAAAUGCUCUUAAUUUCUUUGCAUCAUGUAUUUCUUCUAGGCUUUUCAUCCUGAGUUUACUCACCUGUUUGUUUCCAGCUUUGUCUUGCCUAAGCAUUAUUGACUGCUUUCUUCUCUGCCUGCAGAUGAGUGUGUUCCCUUUGUUCCUGUGCUCUCGUCUUGUGAGGAGUUGGCUGCUACCUUUGCUCUUAUUGUCAUCUCCUAAUUCUUAUUUCCCUAGCUCAACUGCAAACUGACUUAUUUGGGGGAAUGUUUAAGUGAUCUGACCAGUUUGGAGACAGGACCUGCCUCAAGGGAACCUUUUGCUCUCACUGGAGGCUGCAGCACAAGGUCAUACUAGAAAUGGGAACAACAAACUGAACAUGGGAGACCUUUGUCCCCUCUGUUUGCAGCAGCCACAUUGGGGAGAGAGGACGAAAAAGAUCACAGAAGAGGAAGACUGAAAGUGGCAUUAUUAAUGUAGUGCUACUUAAUAAAGUGGCAUUAACUGCUGAUGUCUACUUUAUGUUCAGCAGUGUAGUGUUAAACACUCAUUCUUCCAAAGCAUGAAUAUACUGGGGCAUGCAUACGCUCACAGGAAACUGGUGCAAGUUCGAAGCCUUGAAAAGAAGCACUUCAGAACCACAUCAAAUAGUAAGAAAGGGCUGAAAGAUAUAGUUUGGCCAACACCUCAAUGGAAAGACAUGAGGGCAGGAGGUGUUGUGAAUGGAGGCUUUUGGCAUAUUGCCAGUCAGAUCUCUAGCUAUAAAGCAAAACAAAUGCAGCCAUCUGAAAGCUUGAAUGAAAGAUGGAAGCCAAAUCCUGAAGAGAUAUCGUCAUGUACCAAAACUACUUACUGCCCAACAGAGAUCCGUGAAAGUCACUAACAGCACAAUUCACGAAGAGGAAAAGGAGGCCUAUUGAACCUGCGCCACUGGAAGGCAAGCUGUUGUUCAGAGUAUCACAACUGAUCUCUUUUCCCUUUCUUACUGACUGAGUCCUGGGGUUUCUUUUCCUGAGCUCUUAUUGCUGGAGAAUAACAUUGAAUGCAAUGUUCCCAUUCUCCCAAAGAGAAAAAUUCAAAUAUGAGCCCAGGGAAAAAGGUUGUUCUCUGUUCAUUUUUUCGUCCUGAUAGGAACGAAAGCCUGUGACAACCUUUCUAUAAAUAGGAGAGCUGCUGGGGAAAAAAGCCAUUAAAGUAAUUUCAAAUAAUUUCAUUACCAAAUAAUUUAAAUAACUUCACUGAUGGUAAUACAACUAUGGAAUGUUUUAUGGGUGUUUUUUUUCAUUUCCAUAUGCAAUGUGCUGAUUAGCAAAUGUGCUAAUUUGUCAGUAUGCCAGAUGUGAAACUAGUCAACUUUGUUUUAGCAUCCCUACAGAGCAGAUGCAUACAUAAGUCAGUGCAUUAAAAAGUAAGCAGUAAUUUCCAUGAUCUUCUGCUUUUAAAACCUAAAUUACCUAGUAAGACAAAAGAAACCUUAAGCUUUAAAUAUUGUACUGAUGCAUCUUUCAACCGUCUGUCUUCACUAAGCCAAAAGCAUUUCCUACAUGCCACUUAAUUAAAUAACAC
rnacentral:lncRNA from 1 species